UCCAGGGUGGCUGAGUGUUUAAGACGUUGGACUUAAGAUCCAGUGGGCAAAUGUCCUUGUAGGUUCAAACCCUACUUCUGGUA